UCCUCCAAAUUAUCAUUUGAUUCCUCGAUUUUGAUCUCAUCAUGUAGCUCGUGUAAGCGAUUAUUCAACCUUCCGAAUUUGUUGAUAUUCUGCUGGUCCUCCCAUGUAACUUCAGUUUCGGAUCCUCCUCCCUUUACGCAUUACAAACAAACGAGUCUCAAUCAAAAUCAAACAAUGCAAUCUGAAAAAUUCAAUUUAGGGUUUUAUGUUACCUGUUGCAUCUUGUUGAUUCAAAUUCGGUGUAUGGUUUUUACAAUACAGAAGACAGUACCACUUCAAGCUUGA
rnacentral:lncRNA from 1 species